rnacentral:lncRNA from 1 species
UGAGAUCAAUUGAGAAGGAAGGGAAAUGAGGCAGUCACACUAGAAAAAUAUUCGGGAAACACGACUGCACCUCCAAGGGCACAACAGCAACCGGAUCAGAUAGUGUUUUCACGGACUAUUAUUCAUGGAGUGGUCGCUUCUAAAAAUAUCGUCGAAGAUGCCCUCGCUCUGGUCUAGCCGCCGAUUACCUUCGUCCUCGCGAGACACGGGUUUCUCACUGAAAACAUCCACGCGUUCUGGACUUCGAAAGGAGUUUGCCAGCUUUUGCCCAAAAACAGGCCACCAAGAAGGACUCCAUGCACGGGAUGCACUGAAAGGGAUCAUGCAGCCCAUAGAAAGCGUCAUUCAACCUUAAGGGUUGCCGCUUGGAGAACAUGAAGGAGAUCACCAGAUUCUCUUGAAGACAACAUGAUCCAGACAGCUGCACAUUGAUUUUCGGAGUGUUAUCCCACACUGUCAGUGUCGCGGCUGCACCUUAUGCCACACCCGUGCAUCUCCGGCAAUCAUCAAGCUGUAACAUCAACUUCUUUGCCAAGCCAUCGGAAUAGUGAAGAUUGGCCUCCAUUCUCACUACUUUAAU